rnacentral:rRNA from 1 species
AUGAACGCUAGCUACAGGCUUAACACAUGCCAGUCGCGGGGCAGCAUGGGGGUUGCUUGCACUCCCCGAUGGCGACCGGCGCACGGGUGAGUAACGCGUAUCCAACCUGCCCUUCACCACGGGAUAACCCGGCGAAAGUCGGACUAAUACCGUAUGUUGUCCAUUGACGGCAUCCGAUUUGGACGAAAGGUUUGGCGGUGAAGGAUGGGGAUGCGUCCGAUUAGCUGGACGGCGGGGUGACGGCCCACCGUGGCGACGAUCGGUAGGGGUUCUGAGAGGAAGGUCCCCCACACUGGAACUGAGACACGGUCCAGACUCCUACGGGAGGCAGCAGUGAGGAAUAUUGGUCAAUGGGCGUAAGCCUGAACCAGCUAAGUAGCGUGCAGGAUGACGGCCCUAUGGGUUGUAAACUGCUUUUAUGCGGGGAUAAAGUGGCCCACGUGUGGGUUUUUGCAGGUACCGCAUGAAUAAGGACCGGCUAAUUCCGUG